GACAGAGGUGCCAAGCGUUAGGCGGAAUCACUGGGCUUAAAGCGUGUGUAGGCGGGCGAUCAAGUACCUUGUGAAAUCCCACGGCUCAACCGUGGAACUGCUGGGUAUACUGGUUGUCUUGAGCCAGCUAGGGGCGAGCGGAACAGGCGGUGGAGCGGUGAAAUGCGUAGAUAUCGUCUGGAACGCCGAAGGUGAAAACAGCUCGCUGGGGCUGCGCUGACGCUGAGGAGCGAAAGCGUGGGGAGCGAACAGG
rnacentral:rRNA from 1 species